UACACGAGUGGCGAACGGGUGAGUAACACGUGGGUAAUCUGCCCUGCACUUCGGGAUAAGCCUGGGAAACUGGGUCUAAUACCGGAUAUGAACUCCUGCCGCAUGGUGGGGGUUGGAAAGUUUUUCGGUGCAGGAUGAGCCCGCGGCCUAUCAGCUUGUUGGUGGGGUAAUGGCCUACCAAGGCGACGACGGGUAGCCGGCCUGAGAGGGUGAUCGGCCACACUGGGACUGAGACACGGCCCAGACUCCUACGGGAGGCAGCAGUGGGGAAUAUUGCACAAUGGGCGAAAGCCUGAUGCAGCGACGCCGCGUGGGGGAUGACGGUCUUCGGAUUGUAAACCCCUUUCAGUAGGGACGAAGCGCAAGUGACGGUACCUGCAGAAGAAGCACCGGCUAACUACGUGCCAGCAGCCGCGGUAAUACGUAGGGUGCGAGCGUUGUCCGGAAUUACUGGGCGUAAAGAGCUCGUAGGCGGUUUGUCACGUCGUCUGUGAAAUCCCUCGGCUUAACCGGGGGCGUGCAGGCGAUACGGGCAGACUUGAGUACUACAGGGGAGACUGGAAUUCCUGGUGUAGCGGUGAAAUGCGCAGAUAUCAGGAGGAACACCGGUGGCGAAGGCGGGUCUCUGGGUAGUAACUGACGCUGAGGAGCGAAAGCAUGGGUAGCGAACAGGAUUAGAUACCCUGGUAGUCCAUGCCGUAAACGGUGGGCGCUAGGUGUGGGGUCCUUCCACGGACUCCGUGCCGUAGCUAACGCAUUAAG
rnacentral:rRNA from 1 species